rnacentral:rRNA from 1 species
UUAGAGUUUGAUCCUGGCUCAGGAUAAACGCUGGCGGCGUGCCUAACACAUGCAAGUUGAACGGAAUGUUGGAACUUGUUCCAAUGUUUAGUAGCGGACGGGUGAGUAACACGUGGAUAAUCUACCUUUCGUAUGGGAAUAACAGCCAGAAAUGGUUGCUAAAGCCCGAUAAGCCCACGGCUUGGCAUCAAGCAGUGGGAAAAUAUUUAUAGACGAAAGAUGAGUCCGCGUCUGAUUAGCCAGUUGGCGGGGUAAAGGCCCACCAAAGCGAUGAUCAGUAGCCGGCCUUAGCGGGUGUACGGCCACAUUGGGACUGAGACACGGCCCAAACUCCUACGGGAGGCAGCAGUGGGGAAUAUUGCGCAAUGGGCGAAAGCCUGACGCAGCAACGCCGCGUGAAGGACGACGGUCUUCGGAUUGUAAACUUCUAUCGACGGGGAAUAAUAAAUGAAGGUACCCGAGUAAGAAGCACCGGCUAAAUACGUGCCAGCAGCCGCGGUAAUACGUAUGGUGCAAGCGUUAUCCGGAAUUACUGGGCGU